UUCAGGGAUGGAACCCUGGAAUGUGCCGAGUCCCUCAGGGGAUUCUCACACACACACUAAAAUUUAGAGAACCACCACUCCAACAUCAAUGCUGCUGUAUCCUCCAGCAGAGACCACAACGAGGGAACAUGAAACACAACUACUGAUGAUGGGACUUCUUAUUCCAGUUUUCACAUCAGGAUCUCGAAUUCCGUUCCAUUCUGCUAUCCACUAUGGGCCAUAAGAAGGGCCAGCCAUUACAGGAAAUAAAACUACGUUUUGCUCAGGACUCUCUGCUUUCUGUGGACAAUGGGUAGACUUCACUAUGAGUGUGCAGUCCCUGGGAUUUGUGUGUAAACUGUGCAUGUUACGUCUGAGCCAUGAGAGUCCAGUCCUUUCAUCCAUUUCUCAAAGGGGAUUCUAGGAAAGCUGAGCCCUGGACUCUAGAGAAAUGCUCCUGGGAAACUGUAAGCAAACUUACAAUGUACAAAUGCUUUUUGUUUAUGUGUAAAAAAGAACUCUUUGCCUCCAACAAACUGUGGGUCAGAAAGAAUAAGAUUAACCUGUGCAACACCCCACAGCUAGUCAGUGGACCAGACAGAACCAAACUCGACUGGGCUCUUUUCCCUGAACCAUGCCUAUCACCGUCCACACAGUUUCAUUCUUCUUAAGUCAUGGUGUUCAUGGUGUCCAGCAAGAGUAUAAAUAUAAGACUUUAAACACCACUAGCCAAGGCUUUCUGUUGCUCUGAUCCCCAUCACAGUGUUUAAUACGAUAAGGAAGAGAUUAAGGGAUAAAGGGAAGAAAACUCUGCCCACUGAUGCAUUCAACAACUUUCAAAAAUAAAUCUAUGCUGCAAUGUCAGCUUAAAAAGC